AGUAGAGGGGCGAGGUCUGUGCCAACUUUGACAUUGGAGAGAUUAUGGAAAGGGAUAGGAAUAUUGAAGAGAAAUAUCAACAUAGACUGAUCUGUAUCUCUUGACUGUAAGUUCAGCUCCAAAGGGAAUUAAAUUCUUAUUAGCUUGAUUUGAGCCUUUUAGGUGUUUCCUUGAGCUUUAUGGUUUCUUGUUUAUGCUGAGCUUUCAACUUGCAUGUUUUCUGCUUUCUCGGCCUCGAUUGCUUGUUUCAUUUGGUAGAUGGAUAUACGAGUUUAUUCUAACAUGGGUUGAAAAUUGUUCAUUUGAGACUCUCAGUUAACGAAUAACAAUUUUGAAAUUGAAUUAAAUACCAAAACACUGAUCAUUGAAGUAAAAAAAGAAAUAAAAAAGAAAAUAGUGAAGGAGAUCCGGUUGGCAGUCUUUGGACCCUUGAAAAGUAGGAUUUUCAUGUGUCGUAAUUUCGUUGGCUACUAAGCAAUGUCGUGAAAAUGAAGGAACUCUUGAAGAUGACAACCUAAUUCGUACGGUCAUUUUCUCUAUUCACGUGGGAGAUAAUUUUUUUAUAAAAAAUAAUUAUAGUUUUAGAAUCAUAACAUAUUCUCAUAAAAAAAAUUUCCUUACAUUUGUACUUUCUUGUCAAAAUGGCCUAGUUAUUUUUAUGAGGGCUAACACUAACUGAUUUAGAUGAAGCUUUUUAAGAGAAUCAUAUCUGUGGAGAUAAAACUGGAAACCGAGUAUAAUUGAAAAAAUAGUUAAAGAAUUGUAAAUGUAUGAGAGUAAAAGAUUGGUACUUAGGGAGCAUUAAAUAGUUAUAAUUAUUUGAGAGACGACCUAGAAUUUUCUGAAACGUGAGAAAUGCUCUUCAAAUCCCACUCCACUUUCAUCAAGAUCCAGUGAAAUGAAAUGAUGAUUACCUCAAAACACAGAGCUUUCUUCUUCUUCUUCUUCUUCUUCCUCAGCACCAUCUUCAAUUUCAAUUCCUUCACAUCAACCUAUGGCAACACCACUUUCUGCCACAAAAUCGAAAAACAAGCCCUCCUAACCUUGAAGCAAUCCAUAAGCUUAAACAACUUCACCCUCUCCUCAUGGAACACCACCAACUCCAACUGCUGCACAUGGAACGGCGUCGUUUGCAGCGUUCCAACCGGCCACGUCCACGGCCUCCAUCUCAGUUCUCACUCCUUACACGGCAAUAUCAAUCUGUCCACUCUCCUUCGUCUCAAGCACCUCACCUAUCUUGAUCUGAGCCACAACCAAUUCCAAGGAGCAAUCCCUCCAUCCAUUGCGAGGCUAAAGAAUCUCGAGUAUCUGAAUCUCUCCAAUGCUGGAUUCCACGGAGUGAUUCCUCGGUCGAUAGGGAAUCUCUCGAGCCUACGCACUUUGGUUCUAGAAGGUUCUGGCCAGAAAGUGCAUGAGCUUGGAUGGCUGUCUUGUUUAGUCCGUUUGAAGCAUCUCAACAUGAACUUCAUCGACCUCAGAAACGAAACCAACUGGUUGGGAAUCAUCGACGCUCUUCCUCAUUUGGCUGAGCUCCAUCUUCGUGGCUGCAAGCUUCUCUCACCUCUCUCCACACUUGAUCAUGUUAAUGCCACUUCUCUAACAUUUCUUGAUCUCUCUAGAAACGAGCUCGCCUCUUUCUCCACUGCAGGGUGGAUUUUCAGAAAAGGUAGCCUGAGGUUUCUUGAUAUGAGUCAAAACUAUAUCGAAGGCCAUGUUCCAUAUACAAGCAAUACAACGAAACUGCAACACAUUGAUCUCUCUUGGAAUAAACUCAGCUCAGUAAUCCCGGAUUGGAUUUACUCACGUCAAGAUUUGAAGUUUGUGUAUUUGGGCAAUAACUUCUUGAAUGGUACGAUCUCCAAAAGGGUAGCGAAUCUAACAUCUCUUGACACUUUCAGUUUAAGCUAUAACCAAAUCUCUGGGGAAAUACCGAGUGAGAUCACUAGCUUGUGCGCGAUACGAAUAUUGGACUUGUCUGGUAACAAUUCUCGAAGGGAAUAUAUCUGAUGUAUUUGAAAAUAUAUCCCAUUGCUUCCUGGAAGCAGUCGUAACAUUGCGCAUGAGGGAAAAUAAACUGUCUGGUCACUUGACGAACCAGUUUGGCAAGUUCAAGAAACUGGGGUUUCUUGAUCUCACCAUAAACUCAAUAUCUGGCGUGAUCCCAGACAGUUUAUGUAAAUCGUCGUGCCUAAGGAUAUUAUGGCUUGCAUUCAACAAACUGAGUGGAGAAUUGCCAAUGAGUAUAGGGCAGCUUUUUAACUUGGAAAGUCUUACUUUUGGGAGGAAUAAGUUGGAAGGGGUUGUGAAUGAGACUCACUUUGAAAAACUCACAAAAUUGAAGUACUUGUUUGCAUCUGGCAAUAACUUGAGUUUGAAAGUGAGCCCUAAUUGGAUUCCACCUUUCCAACUUGUGGAGGAGAUUGGCAUUGGAUCUUGGAAUCUUGGGACAGCUGAGAUACCUUCAUGGAUUAAUGAAUUGCAUAAGAAUGUUUCAGUUCUUGAUUUGUCUGAUACUGGGCUAUCUGGUGAAGUUCCAACAUGGGUUUGGGGUGUAAGUAUACUCAACCUCUCCCACAACCAGUUUCAUGGAGAAAUACCUGACUUUAAACCAUGGAAGCAUCACCAUGCUUUUCCAUAUCAACGACGUAUGUAUUUGAGUUCAAAUCGAUUUAGUGGCUCGUUGCCCCGGGUUUCAUAUGAUAUGCUCGAGUUGGAUCUUUCCAACAAUUCAUUUUCAGGAAGUUUAUCACACUUUCUAUGUGAUGCCACAUUUGAUACUUAUGUGAAGAUUCUCCAUUUGGGAAACAAUUUGAUAAGUGGGGAAAUCCCAAAUUGUUGGAUGAAAUGGUCUUCUUUGUAGGUGCGGGUAGUGUGUUGUUGUCGAACAAAUCUUGGAGACAAGGCUAUUUUGCAUGGGCGGAGAGAGUUUGGCACAAGAUUUAUGUUUAUAUAACCAUUAAUGCAUCACAAUCUAUAUUGUGUGUAUUAUAGUUUAAUGUAUGUUUAGUGCUAUUUGUUUGUUUUACCUCAAAACGCCUCAAUGCAUCACAAUGUGGCGUUUGAUGGUUGUAUCCCCGGUGGAACAGCUGCCGCUCAAGCCUGCAGUUAUGCACUAUGAUCGUAUGGUACUCUUCCUCAACCCGUAUCAACUGCAACGCGCUCGUGGCUAUUAGGCUGAUGGUGCUGCUCGAAUUUGUGUGAGUUGGCAAAAUAGUUUGCCCCCUUCGCCGUAGUAAAGCUAACAUCAUGGUAGCAUGUUCAGAGUGAGGGAGUAUACCGGCUGUGAUGAAGCCAAGAUGUUCACCAACAACAUCAUUAAAGCAUAAUAAGUUCCAAGUAUAUUUGGUGUUCCAAGUAUACUGUUAACGAAUAAUUAUAGAGAGAGAUGGCAUGAACUCAAAUAAGAUAUAAGCUGGUCUAUUUUAAGAGUUAGAUUACCAUAUGGUGAAGGGUAUCAAAUGGAAAAAGAACAAGUCUCUCUACAAAAUAAUAGAGAUGGAGCAUACACAUGUAUUGAAGCCUGACACAGGUUCCGAAAAGAACGCAACAAUCUGUUGGUCGGGGUGAAGAAAGUAGUGUUUGGAUUGUCGACUGCAACAACAGUUUGAUUUGGGUCAAGCCCGCACGGAUUUGUUCUUGGGCCACUCCCAAAAGGCCUCAAACUAAUUGGAGUUGGACAAGAAUUAUAUACGCCUUCCAACUUCCCUCGCAAAUUUUGAAAAACAUUUUGAUUUUGGUUUAGUGUAAACAGGUUUUAGAAUAAAGGGGUGAGGUCUGUGCCAACUUUGACAUUGGAGAGAUUAUGGAAAGGGAUAGGAAUAUUGAAGAGAAAUAUCAACAACAUAGACUGAUCUGUAUCUCUUGACUGUGUAAGUUCAGCUCCAAAGAGAAUUAAAAUUCUUAUUAGCUUGAUUUUGAGGUAUUUCCUUGAGCUUUAUUUUAUGGUUUCUUGUUUAUGCUCAGCUUUCAAUUUCUGCUUUCUCGGCCUCAAUUGCUUGUUUCAUUUGGUAUGUGGAUCGAUACGACUUUAUUCUAACCUGGGCUGAAAACUGUGCAUCUAAAUUGAAUAGUAAAAAUUUUGAAACUGAA